UUUGAUCAUGGCUCAAAUUGAACGCUGGCGGCAUGCCUUACCCUUGCAAGUCGAACGGCAGCGGGGGAAAGCUUGCUUUCCUGCCGGCGAGGGGCGAACGGGUGAGUAAUACAUCGAAACGUGCCCUGUAGGGGGGGAUAACUAGUCAAAAGAUUAGCUAAUACCGCAUACAACCUGAGGGUGAAAGUGGGGGACCGCAAGGCCUCAUGCUAUAGGAGCGGCCGAUGUCUGAUUAGCUAGUUGGGGGGGUAAAGGCCUACCAAGGCGACAAUCAGUAGCUGGUCUGAAAGGACAAUCACCCACACUGGGACUGAGACACGGCCCAAACUCCUACGGGAGGCAGCAGUGGGGAAUUUUGGACAAUGGGCGAAAGCCUGAUCCAGCAAUGCCGCGGGUGUGAAAAAGGCCUUCGGGUUGUAAAGCACUUUUGUCCGGAAAGAAAUGGCUCUGGUUAAUACCCGGAGUUGAUGACGGUACCGGAAGAAUAAGGACCGGCUAACUACGUG
rnacentral:rRNA from 1 species